rnacentral:rRNA from 1 species
GACGAACGCUGGCGGCGUGCUUAACACAUGCAAGUCGAACGGAAAGGCCCUACUUUUGUGGGGUGCUCGAGUGGCGAACGGGUGCGUAACACGUGAGUAACCUGCCCUUGACUUUGGGAUAACUUCAGGAAACUGGGGCUAAUACCGGAUAGGAGCUCCUGCUGCGUGGUGGGGGUUGGAACGUUUCGGCGGUUGGGGAUGGACUCGCGGCUUAUCAGCUUGUUGGUGGGGUAGUGGCUUACCAAGGCUUUGACGGGUAGCCGGCCUGAGAGCGUGACCGGCGACAUGGGGACUGAGAGAGGCAGCAGACGGCUACGGUGGGCAGUAGUGGGGAAUAUGGCACAAUGGGCGGAAGUCUGAUGAAGAAACGUUCGGUGCGUGAUGACGGUCUGUGGGGUGUAAACAGCUUUCGCCUGUGACGAAGCGUGAGUGACGGUAAUGGGUAAAGAAGCACCGGCUAACUACGUG